CGUCAAUAUGGGCUAGGCCCGUUGGACCGGCCUGGCCUAACUCGGGAUUUAAUAGGGCUGGGCUAAGAUUUUUGAAGCCCAUUUAAGAAAAGGGCUUUUUAGCCCGGCCUGAAUAAGCCUGCUGAUUUGUGGGGCUUGAAAAAUAUAGGUAGGGCCGGCCCGUGGGCCAAAUAAAAAUAAUUUAAAAAAUAUAAUAUAAUAUUAAAAUUUAAAAUUAAAGAGAGUCCAAACUCAAAAUCUAUUUAAUAUUUAACUAAUUGAAACCGCAUAUAAAUUGCAGAAGAAAAUGAAGAUGCUAAGACAACCUUGCCACAAGAUGAUUCAGAUAUGCUUGAUGAAGAUGAUCAUGAAGUGUUGGAUACGCCAUAGAUUUCAUGAUGUGUUAGAUACGCCAUAAGUUUCAUGACUUUUUUUAAGGAGUUUAUUUUUAACUUUUUUAUGGUUGGAAUAUUGUCACAU
rnacentral:lncRNA from 1 species